ACAAGUACUUCCAGGUUUCAAAGCUUACUACACUUCCAUAGUGUGCCAUGCGAGAGCAAAGUGCACCUCGAACCAUUGCCCAGCCCUCUGCUAUAGGCUGAGAGCACUGAAGGGGGCGGCGCAGUA
rnacentral:snoRNA from 1 species